CUUUGUAGAAAGGAGAGAUAGUGGAAAACAAAAAUGUGCGUAUGGGAGGAGAAGCUGCCAAGAAAAAACGCCUAAACCAAAAACCAUUGUCCACACUUUCUUUCUUUGUAUCCAUAAACCAUUGUUCUUCACAACAAUUGAAAUUGCAAUCGCAAUGACUUCUAAACACCAUCAUCGGAUACAAUUUUUCCUCAUCUCCUACGAUCAGGACAUAUGAUGUCUUUGUUAGCUUUUGUGGUGGAGACACACGCUUCAAUUAACAUAAUUGGUUCUCUUUUUUGGGCUCUCUGUAAAAAUGGUAUUCAUGCCUUCAAAGAUGACACACAUCUUAAGAAAUACGAAUCCAUAGCACCCAAGUUGCAACAAGCCAUUGAGGGGUCUCGCCUUUUUGUUGUGGUCUUCUCAAAGAAUUAUGCUUCCUCAACUUGGUGCUUAAGUGAACUUGCACACAUCGGCAACUUCGUUGAAAUGUCGCCAAGACUUGUUUUGCUUAUUUUUUAUGAUGUUGAUCCAUUAGAGGUGCGAAAAUAUAGUGAAUGUCAUGGGAUGGCCUUUGCUGAACACGAAAAAAGAUUAAGAGAAGACACAAAGAAGAUGGAGGAAGUACAAAGAUGGAGGGCAUCUCUCACACGAGUGGCCAAUCUCUCUGGUUGGGAUGCCUAGAAUAAGCCAUUAUAUAUAGAGAUUGAGACAUUGUUCAAAACAUAAAAAGUAUAUUGACUGCCAAAUUUUCAAGUCUUAAUGAUCAUCUAGUUGGGAUGGAAUCUUGUGUUGAAGAAUUAAGAAGGCUUUUAUGUUUGGAGUCAGUUAAUGAUCUUCAAGUUAUUGGAAUACGUGGAAUGGGUGGAAUAGGAAAGACGACUCUUGCUCAUGUUUUAUAUGAAAGAAUCUCUCAUCAAUAUGAUUUUCAUUGUUAUAUUGUUGAUGUAAGCAAAAUUUAUCAAGAUUCUAAUAUAUUAGGGGUACAAAAACAACUACUUUCUAAUUAUUUGAAUGGUAAAAAUCUAGAGAUUUGUGAUGUU